UACGUAGGGUCCGAGCGUUAUCCGGAAUUAUUGGGCGUAAAGAGCUCGUAGGCGGUUUGUCGCGUCUGCUGUGAAAACUGGAGGCUCAACCUCCAGCCUGCAGUGGGUACGGGCAAACUAGAGUGCGGUAGGGGAGAUUGGAAUUCCUGGUGUAGCGGUGGAAUGCGCAGAUAUCAGGAGGAACACCGAUGGCGAAGGCAGAUCUCUGGGCCGUAACUGACGCUGAGGAGCGAAAGCAUGGGGAGCGAACAGG
rnacentral:rRNA from 1 species